rnacentral:lncRNA from 1 species
GUAGCGCGCGGUUGUGUUUUUCCAGCCAGUUCCAGCCUUGUCCAGCCCUCGUAUGUUUGAUUAUUGAAUUCAAAAGGAGGGUGAAAUGUAUUCAUUGUUGAACGAAAUAUUGUGCACAAUUCUCUUUUCAACUGCUUUCAAAACAAGAUUCGUUACCUGCUACCAGCUAUCAUGCUGAUUGACAAACGUGCUGAGACUCUGAGAGUGAGACCAAGCUAGUGAGACCAAUUUUCGCUGAUGCCUCGUGGCUGUUGGUGUUGGUUGCCACCUAAAAACCGUGUUAAAAACUGAUUGUAUCGACGGUUUUGUACUUUUCAACCUAAACAUAUAUAUCGGACGUCUUGAACUUGCUGGGAAAAGUGCAGAGAGCUCAACUUUGAAUUAUCCAUGAGGUUAACAAUAACAACACUUGAUGUAAUGUGUUCAACACUGGAUCGAUAAAUCUCUUCUUGUGGCCCACCAUGAUCCGCUGUGAAAUAACUUUUUCUGUGAACCACUACCAUUAUGACUAUGACAAUGAAGUUGUUGUACAGUGAAAUCCAACUCUGCAAGUCGAAUGACAACUGGAGCUUUCAAAUACGUAGGAAAACCUAGA